UACGUAGGGCGCAAGCGUUGUCCGGAAUUAUUGGGCGUAAAGAGCUCGUAGGCGGCCUGCUACGUCUGCUGUGAAAUCCCGGGGCUUAACCCCGGGCGUGCAGUGGAUACGGGCAGGCUGGAGGCAGGCAGGGGAGAACGGAAUUCCCGGUGUAGGCGGUGAAAUGCGCAGAUAUCGGGAGGAACACCGGUGGCGAAGGCGGUUCUCUGGGCCUGUACUGACGCUGAGGAGCGAAAGCGUGGGGAGCGAACAGG
rnacentral:rRNA from 1 species